rnacentral:rRNA from 1 species
ACUCAAUAGAUACCCUGGUAGUCCUGGCCCUAAACGAUGUCUACUAGAUCGUGGCGGCACUGACGCCGUCAUGGUCGAAGCAAAAGUGUUAAGUAGACCGCCUGGGAAGUACGGUCGCAAGGCUAAAAACUCAAAGAAAUUGACGGGGGCUCACACAAGCGGUGGAGCAUGUGGUUCAAUUCGAAGCAACGCGAAGAACCUUACCUGGGCUUGACAUGCUAGGAUUAUCUUGAUGAAAGUCGAGUAGGCCCCGCAAGGGGUACAACUAAUACAGGUGCUGCAUGGCUGUCGUCAGCUCGUGUCGUGAGAUGUCGGGUUUAAGUCCCUUAACGAGCGAAACCUUUGCCCUUAGUUGCCAUCGGGUUAUGCCGGGCACUCUAAGGGGACUGCCGUGUCAAACCGGAGGAAGGUGGAGAUGACGUCAAGUCCUCAUGGCCUUUUAUGCCCAGGGCUACACACGUGCUACAAUGGCGUCCACAAAGCGAGCCGAGAGCGCAAGCCGGAGGAAAUCGCAGAAAUGACG